rnacentral:rRNA from 1 species
AGCGAACGCUGGCGGCAGGCCUAACACAUGCAAGCCGAACGGAUCCUUCGGGAUUAGUGGCGGACGGGUGAGUAACACGUGGGAACGUGCCCUUUGGUUCGGAACAACUCAGGGAAACUUGAGCUAAUACCGGAUGUGCCCUUCGGGGGAAAGAUUUAUCGCCAUUGGAGCGGCCCGCGUCUGAUUAGCUAGUUGGUGGGGUAAAGGCCCACCAAGGCGACGGUCAGUAGCUGGUCUGAGAGGAUGAUCAGCCACAUUGGGACUGAGACACGGCCCAAACUCCUACGGGAGGCAGCAGUGGGGAAUCUUGCGCAAUGGGCGAGAGCCUGACGCAGCCAUGCCGCGUGAAUGAUGAAGGUCUUAGGAUUGUAAAAUUCUUUCACCGGGGACGAUAAUGACGGUACCCGGAGAAGAAGCCCCGGCUAACUUCGUGCCAGCAGCCGCCGUAA